CUCCCUGUCCAUUUAAUUGGAAUACAAAGCAGAGAAUGGUCGAUGGCAGAGAGUGGCGCAGGAGGAGGAGGAGGAGGAGAGGGGUGCGGACGCUGUCUGUCUCAGGCGACUCUCAGCCUUCGCUGCUCGCUGGGAAUCGACUGGGAAGCCGGCAAGCGAGACCGACACACUGUCCCUGAGGCGUUGGUUUGAUCCCCAGUGUAUGGCCCCUUUAUGCAGAAUACCAGGACACACAGGCAUCCAGAACAUCUGUCUCGUGGGGUUGUCUUCAGCAGCGACUCCUGACACCACCAGAUGGACGGCCUGCUGGGAGCACUGAGCUAUCGCCCACCAGACGACGGCAGGGAUCACACUUCUGGAACCCGCUCCCACACUCCUGGCCCGCGUCAUCUGUCUUUAUGUUGUUGUUGGGCCCGUUGUUGUUGUUAACGUGCGGGUUGUCAGUUCCGUCGCCUCUUUAAGUGUUAACCUUUCAGCGGCUUUGGCCUUGUGACAUGUGUGAUCUGAAAGCUGAUCGGAGGCCCAAGCUUUUGACUUGUGUGUGAGACACUGUGUGUGUGUGUGUGUGUGUGUGUGUGUGUGUGUGUGUGUGUGUGUGU
ensembl:lncRNA